UGCUUCUGGAUGAAGACCACAAAAAAUUAUCAGUACUUUCUUUUGGAUCCUUGGAGCAAUUCUCACGCUUCUACAUUUCCCAGUAUGGAAUGUUUUGGCACCAUGGCGAACUCCCUCUUCCGUCUUCAUUUUGCAAGAUACACGUCCAGCACCAUUCAAUACAAGUUAGUGCAAAUAUUGAGAGCAUUUAAAUAGUGAAUUGAAAAGCAAAAGAGUGCAGUUUUUGAAAGCUAAAAUGUGCAGAGGAAACAUACUAUGACACUGUUCCAUUCCAGGGUUCCAUAGCAUUCUGUCCAGUCUUAGUUCUCUAUAGUAAAAUCCAGUCUUAGUUCUCUGUAGUAAAAUUAUUUUUGAGUUGUAACCUAAUUUGCUUAAUCUGGAAGCAUUGCUUAGGUUUUACUUUAUCCCAAACCUUCAGCUUCAAGCUAGAGUUAGCUUGAAGGGGUUGCUACAUUCAAGUGAUUGUAGGCAUUGAAGGGGCUAGGGGUAGUCUAUUAGGUUACAUAAGUUUGUAAUCUGAAUUUGGCUAAAGUUUAGUGAAGUUGGGGGUAAAUCCUACAGGGGUGUGGGUCGUGGUUUUUUACACCUUUUGAGCCGGGAAUUUUUCACGUAAAAAUCUUGUGUUCUUAUUUAUUCCACAAUUUUCAUUCUACAAAUAGUAGUAUAAGAACCAUGUUCCUUCUAGUGGUUCACUGUCUUUGAAAGUUAGGCAAAUCUUAACUGGUUGCGAAAAUUUGGUAUGACCCAAUUAAACCCCUCUCUUAAGUCUAAGUGGUUUCUAAAUUAACAAGUAGUAUCAGAGUGGGUAUUCUCUAGUAAGGCUAACACCUUGAAAAAGAUCCAAAUACACAAACUAUGAAUGAGGGACAGUCCAUUACUCGACCUCCACUAUUUAAUGGGCAAUAUUACAGUUGGGGGAAGUCUCGUAUGGAGAACAUUUUACAAGCUGAGGAUUACCAAUUUUGGGUAAUAACUAGUGGUUGUCCACUGGUUCCAAUGAAAGAUGAUGCAACUGGAAACAAGGUUCCCCAAAGAAAAGGCUGGCUUGGGAGAAGAAGAUUACAAGAUGCCGGAGAAAAAUGCUAAGGCCAUAAAAAUACUCACAUGUGGACUUGAUCCCGAUGAGUAUAAUCGAAUCCCUGCUUGUGGAUCUGCAAAAGAGAUGUGGGAAUCAUUAUAAAUUGUACAUGAAGGAACAAAUCAGGCAAAAUAGUCUAGAAUUGAAUUACUUAUGACUGACUAUGAAUUGUUCACUAUGAACAAAAAUGAGUCCAUCAAGGAGAUGCAGUCAAGGUUCACAAUUAUUAUAAAUAAACUCAAGUCACUUGGAAAAACUUUCAAGUCAGAGGUGCUUGUAAGAAAAGUCCUUAGGAUUUUGCUUUCUUCAUGGGAAAGCAAAGUUACGGCUAUUCAAGAAGCUAAGGAGAUGAACAAAUUAACAACGGAUGAACUGAUUGGAAACUUGCAUACUUAUGAACUAAGAAAAAGUUCUCAAAUGAAACAAGAGUCAAAGAAAGAUAAAUGGUUGUCCAUAAAGGCAAAAGUGCGUGAUAACUCUGACUUUGAUGAUGAUGGCAUGGCAUUAAUCACUCGUAAGUUCAAGAAGUUUCUCAUGAAAGGCAAAAGCUUUAUAAAGGGAAAUUUAAGUAAGGCAAACCGACAAGCCUCGGUUUGAUGGAUGUUUCAAAUAUGAAAAACUGGAUCACAUGAUCAUAGAUUGUCCAAUGUGGGAAGAAGAGUAUAAAUGGGCAAAGGAACAGAAGAUGAACCAGAUGAAGGAACAGGUCCAUGAUUGAUUCAAAACUCUGAAAAAGCCAUCCAACAAAGCUUUCACAAGAGCUAUGCUAGAAGCUUGAGAAGAUAGUUGUAAUGACCCAUUAGGUCAUUUUAGUUAUUUUGACUAUUUGACCCCUGAUUACCCUUCCCCUAGCUUCAUUAGAGUAUAUUUGACUUGUGGAGAUGGGUGGGGGCAGUUCUCAAGGCAUUCGAAUGAGAUUUGGGUGAGAAAAUGGGAUUUGUGAAAGUUCAUAAGUAUUGGGUUGACCAAAGUCAACAUCAGGGGUAAAUGAGUCCUUUUGGAAAUUUUAUUGAUUCCAUUAGGUCCGGAAUAUCGAUUAUGACUUGGUUGAGUGAUUGGUUCGGUUAGCGAGGGACUCGGGGGUAUUUUAGACUUUUGGUUGGAAACCUAGUUUUCAGGGAUUGGAGUUGACCACGGUCAACACCGGUCAUGAUGAUCUCCUUUGAGAAUUUUGAAUGCGCUAGUGAGUUCGUAACGUGUUUUAUGAUUGAAAUGCAUAUUUGGUUUGUGUCGGGGAGGUUCCAGAUGAGUUUGGGGUAUUGGACCGGAAUUGGGGAAAAAUUAAAUUUUUAUUGUUUUCAGUGAAUGUUGUUUUCUUCAACGCGUUAGCGAGUUGUAGUGGACCAGGAGAGUCGCAUUCGUGAGCCGAGGGCUCGUGUUCGCGAAGAAGGGUGUUGCCUGGGCCGGAUUUGGAUGACCCAUAUCGUUCGCGAUGGCCUCUUCGCGAUCGCGAUAAGUAGGCUGGUCAGGGCUCGUGUUCGGGUGGCAUGACCGCCUUUGCGAAGAGAAAAUUAGGCCUGGGCAGAUUCUAAACCCCAUUUCGUGUUUAUACCCUUCUUUCACAUAUUUGGAGCUUGAGACCUCGGUUUAAGGAGAAUUUUGAAGGAAUUUGCAAGAUUCAUCAAGUGGGUAAGUUUCUAAUCUCUCUUUUACUUUUAUAUCAUUAAUUGGUAAGGAUUCCCGUGUUAGAAAUCAUGAUUUAAGGAUGGGAUUUGAUGGUUUAUGAACCCUAAGCUAGAAUUUGAGGAUUCUUGAUUUGAGCAUGAAUAUGAUGAUGGAUUUGGUUCA